rnacentral:rRNA from 1 species
GGAAUUUUCCACAAUGGACGAAAGUCUGAUGGAGCAACGCCGCGUGCAGGAUGAAGGCCUUCGGGUUGUAAACUGCUUUUGUGAGUGAAGACUUCCGACGGUAACUCACGAAUAAGGGUCGGCUAACUACGUGCCAGCAGCCGCGGUCAUACGUAGGACCCAAGCGUUAUCCGGAAUUACUGGGCGUAAAGAGUUGCGUAGGUGGCAGAGUAAGUAAGGAGUGAAAGCGUUCGGCUCAACCGAAUAAACA